rnacentral:rRNA from 1 species
GCAUAUCAAUAAGCGGAGGAAAAGAAACCAACAGGGAUUGCCCUAGUAACGGCGAGUGAAGCGGCAAGAGCUCAGAUUUGAAAUCUGGCGCCUUCGGCGUCCGAGUUGUAAUCUGUAGAGGAUGCUAUUGGGUAGCCACCGGUCUAAGUCCCCUGGAACGGGGCGUCGCAGAGGGUGAGAAUCCCGUAUGUGACCGGAAGGGCGCCCUCCACAUAGCUCCUUCGACGAGUCGAGUUGUUUGGGAAUGCAGCUCUAAAUGGGAGGUAAAUUCCUUCUAAAGCUAAAUACCGGCCAGAGACCGAUAGCGCACAAGUAGAGUGAUCGAAAGAUGAAAAGCACUUUGGAAAGAGAGUUAAAAAGCACGUGAAAUUGUUGAAAGGGAAGCGCUUGCAACCAGACUUGUUGGCGGUGUUCCGCCGGUCUUCUGACCGGUGUACUCACCGUCUGCAGGCCAGCAUCAUCUGGGGCCGCCGGAUAAAAGCGGGGGGAAUGUGGCUCCCUCGGGAGUGUUAUAGCCCCUCGUGCAAUACGGCGUGCCUCGGGUGAGGUCCGCGCUUCGGCUAGGAUGCUGGCGUAAUGGUCGUAAGCGGCCCGUCUUGAAACACGGACCAAGGAGUCUAACAUCUAUGCGAGUGUUCGGGUGUCAAACCCCUACGCGUAAUGAAAGUGAACGGAGGUGGGAGCCUUAGGGUGCACCAUCGACCGAUCCUGAUGUCUUCGGAUGGAUUUGAGUAAGAGCAUAGCUGUUGGGACCCGAAAGAUGGUGAACUAUGCCUGGAUAGGGUGAAGCCAGAGGAAACUCUGGUGGAGGCUCGCAGCGGUUCUGACGUGCAAAUCGAUCGUCAAAUUUGGGUAUAGGGGCGAAAGACUAAUCGAACCAUCUAGUAGCUGGUUCCUGC